rnacentral:rRNA from 1 species
GACGUAGGGGGCCAGCGUUGCUCGGAAUUACUGGGUGUAAAGGGUUCGUAGGCGGUGUGGCAAGUCGGGAGUGAAAUCCUGGAGCUCAACUCCAGAACUGCCUUCGAUACUGGAGAGCUCGAGUCCGGGAGGAGGUGAGUGGAACUGCGAGUGUAGAGGUGAAAUUCGUAGAUAUUCGCAAGAACACCAGUGGCGAAGGCGGCUCACUGGCCCGGUACUGACGCUGAGGUGCGAAAGCGUGGGGAGCAAACAGG